rnacentral:lncRNA from 1 species
GGAAAGCGAGUCUAUGAUCCAGGCAUACCGAUGAUGGAGAAAGGUUUUCUCGUAGAACCUUAUUUUGCAUGAAGGAAUGGACAGCGUCGAGCUCGAGACAAUAAACAAGAGCGCUGACUGGGAGGCAACCCAGAAUAAGGUCGCUGGUAUGACCAUUACUGCUUUAGUUUCAUGUUUCUUUUAUUUUUCUUGUGUUUUGUGUUUCUUGGAGGACUAACCAUGCAGAAGAGUUGAGCUGGACCCUAUGCAUUGAAGAUCAAAACCCACUUUGCGAAGCAAAGUGUGUAGGUGGGGCCGGUGGAGAUACAGUAGGUGGUCAAGGGAUUACCGCAUCAGCAGUAUGAUUGGUCAGGGUCUGCCCGACUGGCAAGACCUUUGCAUUUUGAAGGAUCGGGAAAUUCAUUCGCCCACUCUCCACCACUCCAUAGCUGCUACACAUGAUCUCAAUGCCAUACUGAUGCCAAGGCAAUUUUGUUGGACAUUUGGGAUGCAUUCCACCGAGUCCUCACACUCCAUGAAUAAGUUUUCUCUCCCUAGUAGUCUUUGUUUUUUCUUUUGAGUCUUGAGUUAGAGUCUGUCUGCACAUGUUGUUGGUAUUGGUGAUUCAUGCAUGCUAUUUGGUUUGACUGGUUUGUUGGUAUGAUGAGCAUGAUCACAUGAUAGCAGUAGUGAGCAUACUGAAUACUCCCACCUGUGAGAUCUGAGCCAAAAUUGCAUUUAUUUUCUGUGUGACUAUGCUGCUUGGUAACCCUAGAACUUGUUUAUGGAUUUUAGCUAGUUGGUAUAAUUUACAUGAUUAGGGCAAUUUUCUUCAAUCUAGAGCCCCAG